rnacentral:rRNA from 1 species
CCUACGGGAGGCAGCAGUGAGGAAUAUUGGUCAAUGACCGGAAGGCUGAACCAGCCAAGCCGCGUGAAGGACGAAGGUGCCAAGCAUUGUAAACUUCUUUUGUCAAGGGACAAAAUCCGGCUCGAGAGCCUGACCGAGUGUACUUUAAGAACAAGCAUCGGCUAACUCCGUGCCAGCAGCCGCGGUAAUACGGAGGAUUCGAGCGUUGUCCGGAUUGAUUGGGUUUAAGGGGUGCGUAGGCGGGCGGUUAAGUCAGCGGUAAAAGCCCGGGGCGCAACCCCGGCGAGCCGGUGAAACUGGCGGUCUGGAGAGGGCGAGAGGUAUGCGGAAGGCGAAGUGUAGCGGUGAAAUGCUUAGAUAUUGCGCAGAACUCCGAUUGCGAAGGCAGCAUACCGGCGGCGAUCUGACGCUGAGGCACGAAAGCGUGGGUAUCGAACAGGAUUAGAUACCCCUGUAGUC